GUGGGAAGAAAAUGGCCGGGUAAGCAGCGGACAGGUAUACUUACGUUGUAAAAGAGUUUGCAUAGCUAUUACAUUACAGAACCUUUUGGGCAUCAGCUUAUGCCCAAAGCGUCUAAAAUUGUUGCUAUUUCAGGUCAGUUCCUAUACAUCAAAGUACUGCAAAUGAUAACUGCCCAGUUAAUGUCUCAUUUGCCAUAUUCCCAGCCACUGGCACGCAAACACAUCGCUUUUCAAAAUGUAUGCUGAAUAUACUGUUAGAUGUGGAAUACAUUUACUAAAAUAUUUCAUGUCAAGCAAUCACAAAUAUAUUGUGGAACCCAGAGCAUUUACAGGUCCCAGUUUUUGACAAUAUGGGCCUGGGUGGGUUUGGGGAGCGGGAAUCCAUCUCGAUUCAUUUUGACUUGCCAUAAAAAUGUGAUAGCAUACGGAAUAUAUUGAACAGUUCUUUGGGAGUCUGCAAACACUCUGUAAAAUAGUAAGAUUCUUCUUGUUUUCAUCAAAAGGUGAAUUUUAAAAGACUGUGGACACCACCAUUUGGAAAUCUGUACAGAACUUCAUCUAGGUAUACAGUCUGUCUGGUCCUCUUCGGAAUCAAGUGCUGGACACAGAGCUUCCAAAUGCAAUCGCUUUUAUUGAAUACCAGAUGGCCUUCCUGCUAAACCAGUGUCAGUGGGUCAUCUUUUCCUUCACAGAUUGUGAAGUGUGGCUUUUGUUAAAUCUCAGUUUAAGCUGUCCUUGUGGAUGCUCCGUUCUAUAAUGUGAUUAUUCAGGUCGUUGUUUUUCCACUGAAUACUUGUUCCAUUCAUAGGAACACUUGAUGACUGACUUCCCGUCUGGUAACACAAGCAGCAGAGGCAUGACUGGCAAAAGAAAGAAUCCAAACAAUAUUAAUCUUGCAUUCCCCUGAGAAGGAUCAUUCUCUGUCUUCACUGGAGUGCAAACAUCAUCAGAGCAAAACAAGCAAAAAAUCCGGCUCAAAUGGAGAGGAAACCAGCAAACGGCAAAAAUCAAAACUAAGCAGAAGACUGUCUUUGCAACUUCUCGCCGCUAGAAGAAGAAAGGACAAGUAAGAUUUGGGGCCAAGCCAAACCUAAACCAAAAUGGGAAGUCUAAUCCCAAGGAUCCAACUAUAGAAAUUCUAAAGAGACAAAUAAAUUGUAGCCAUGAAGCUAAUCAGUAACAGGGUUGCCAACUUUCCAGGAUUGUCUGAGGAUCUCCAGGAAUCAUCAUAUAUUUCCAAGUGACUAUUCAAAGCAAUGUGGAAAUUUUAAUGGUUUGCUAUUGUGAAAAAUAUUGUGUAUAUCUGCUGUGAAAAUAUUUGAGAAAAAAAUCUCCAGGAAUAGCUUCUGUCAGAGUUGGCAAUUCUAUUUGUAGUACCAGUUCUCUCUCCCAUAAUUUAAAGCUCACUCUCUUUCAAACAAAACUGUUUUCCUUUAGGAAAACUGUGCAUGCUGAUACAUACAGUGAUUUGUUAAAGCAAUUUUUAUUUUCAAACACUGAGCAAAGUACCUCCUUUUCUCUCAGUUGUAUUGACUUUCAUGUCUUGCUACAAAAAAGCUACUGUUUUAAUUAACAAGGCAUCACAAAAUGUGUGAACUCAUUACUGCUGUUGAUGGCAUUAACCCUCUCUCUUCAGUUUUUUGUUUUGCUUUUCUAACAGAUUGUAGGAAUGAACAGGAGUUUUAAAAGAAUAUUCUUGGUGGUUGUUGUUUUUAAAUGCAAACAUGUCAAUAUAUGAAGGUGGCAAAUGAGCUACAAAUUCAUAAACUAGCACAUUUACAAUACUGGUAGAAUGGAAGGAGCAUGCUCAUGUAAGUUGAAGAAACAAACUGUCUCCCCAAAUGGCUUGAUUCUACACAACUCUGUCCUACACCAUAUUUUUAGUAAAUGAAAUGUGGCACAGAUUUUGAAACCCCCCCUGCCAUCUCAGCUGUCACUUACUUAAAAAGCCCCCCCCACACACACACACUCAUCAGAAAAUGAAGGUCUACACACGCACACAUUCUCUGUCUUUCACACACACAAUUGGAAACGUUUCAGGGAAUGACCUAAAAGUGGUGUCAGUGGGGUACAAUUAACUUCCAUGGGUUGUAGUAGAAUCCAUGUGGGAGGAAGUCUGGCCCAAGCCAUCUAUAUCUAAACUUUACUCAAAACAAAGCUAAAACAUGUUUUGUGCCAUGACUUCAAUCUGUUGGGACUCCAUCCAUCUUGAAGAAUGCUAAGGGUGGUGGUGGGGGGGGGCAUAUAGACAGACCUAUUGGAUAAAGGGGAAAGAGACCAUAAAGAAACACGUUUCUCUCAUAUGGAAAGAUCUGGUUCCAUCUUUUAAGAAAGGCAGAUCUAUUUUUCCAAAACAAAAUAUUUCCAAAACAUGAACAUGUAUAUCUUGUACUAAUGCAUAUGCAAUUUGAAUACCUGGUUUUAGAAAGG